GGCUCAGAACGAACGCUGGCGGCGCGCCUAAUACAUGCAAGUCGAGCGAGAAGACGUAGCAAUACGUUUGUAAAGCGGCGAACGGGUGAGGAAUACAUGGGUAACCUACCCUCGAGUGGGGAAUAACUAGCCGAAAGGUUAGCUAAUACCGCAUACGACUCCUGGUCUGCGGAUCGGGAGGGAAAGCGAUACCGUGGGUAUCGCGCUCUUGGAUGGGCUCAUGUCCUAUCAGCUUGUUGGUGAGGUAACGGCUCACCAAGGCUUCGACGGGUAGCUGGUCUGAGAGGACGAUCAGCCACACUGGCACUGCGACACGGGCCAGACUCCUACGGGAGGCAGCAGUAAGGAAUAUUGCGCAAUGGGCGACAGCCUGACGCAGCGACGCCGCGUGGGGGAUGAAGGUCUUCGGAUUGUAAACCCCUUUCGGGAGGGAAGAUGGAACGGGUAACCGUUCGGACGGUACCUCCAGAAGCAGCCACGGCUAACUUCGUGCCAGCAGCCGCGGUAAUACGAAGGUGGCAAGCGUUGUUCGGAUUUACUGGGCGUACAGGGAGCGUAGGCGGUUGGGUAAGCCCUCCGUGAAAUCUCCGGGCCUAACCCGGAAAGGGCGGAGGGGACUGCUCGGCUAGAGGAUGGGAGAGGAGCGCGGAAUUCCCGGUGUAGCGGUGAAAUGCGUAGAGAUCGGGAGGAAGGCCGGUGGCGAAGGCGGCGCUCUGGAACAUUUCUGACGCUGAGGCUCGAAAGCGUGGGGAGCAAACAGGAUUAGAUACCCUGGUAGUCCACGCCUUAAACGAUGGAUACUAAGUGUCGGCGGGUUACCGCCGGUGCCGCAGCUAACGCAGUAAGUAUCCCGCCUGGGAAGUACGGCCGCAG
rnacentral:rRNA from 1 species